AGGCCUCAAAUAAUGUGUGACUACCCCCUAAAUUUAAGCAUAUUAAUAAGGGGAGCAAAAGAAACUAACAAGGAUUCCCUGAGUAGCUGCGAGCGAAACGGGAGGAGCUCAGCACGUAGAGAUGAUAUGCAUCGCGUAUCUAUCUGAUUCCGUGUACUGGAAAUUUUGUUAUCUACCAUAAUCAGCGGAACCUGGUUCAAGUUCAACUAGAAUGUGGCUUUUACUCCCAUAGAGGGUGAUAGGCCCGUAGAACGGCGCUGAUGGUAGAAAAUUUUUCCAUGGAGUCGUGUUGCUUGAUAGUGCAGCACAAAGUGGGAGGUAAACUCCUUCUAAAGCUAAAUAUCACCACGAGACCGAUAGCGAACAAGUACCGUGAGGGAAAGUUGAAAAGCACUCUGAAUAGAGAGUCAAAAAGUACGUGAAACUGCCUAGGGCUCAAGCCCGUUGAACUCGAUUAUCCGAAGCAGAGUUACUGGCCUGUGGUUGACACACAGGUCAUUUACGCUCUUGCUUUCAAUAGGACAUUGCGAUCCAUUACGAACAGUUUUGCUGGUUCACACUUGCAAAUCACCCGACAUAGGUCCCUUGGUGUUAGUUGCUAGUCCCAUCGUAGCGAUGUUCAGUUUUGAAGGCCUAUAUCGCGAGCUGGGACUUACUGCACGUGGUGUACCGUUGGGUACGUGAUGGAUACGAACACCGUCCCGUAUGCCCCCGCAUACACCCUCAGUCUGGGUUGGCGGACUGUUGAUCGGCAAUGAUAAAAUCGAGGUGCCUUCGGGACCCGUCUUGAAACACGGACCAAGAAGUCUAUCUUGCGCGCAAGCCAAUGGUGCCGUUUUCCGUUUCCGCGGUAACGCACACUGAAAAACCAUAGGCGUAAAAAACAUAACUCUCUCGUUGUGCGGGAUUAAGGGCGAGACUCUCUGCUCGUCCCUCCAUCCCCGGGUGUUAUAGCCGGCAUGCGGUGGUGGUUCGCUUGCGUGCCAUCAUCGUGCCAUAACAUACCGUGAGUGUGCAGGAUGUGACCCGAAAGAUGGUGAACUAUGCCUGAUCAGGUUGAAGUCAGGGGAAACCCUGAUGGAGGACCGAAGCAAUUCUGACGUGCAAAUCGAUUGUCAGAAUUGGGUAUAGGGGCGAAAGACCAAUCGAACCAUCUAGUAGCUGGUUCCCUCCGAAGUUUCCCUCAGGAUAGCUGGAGCACGCAACAUUUCGGAAUCUAUUCUUAUCUGGUAAAGCGAAUGAUUAGAGGCCUUAGGUUCGAAAUGAUCUUAACCUAUUCUCAAACUAUAAAUGGGUACGUAUCGUAACAUUCUUGGAUGAUGUUAUUGCAACGUAACGUCGGACACUGACCCUCUGUUAGGUCUAGGUGUCUUCCGUCGACGUGAAAGAUAUCGGUGUGCUUAGUGGGCCAAGUUUUGGUAAGCAGAACUGGUGAUGUGGGAUGAACCAAACGUAAUGUUACGGCGCCUAAAUAGACGACGCAUCAUAGAUACCAUAAAAGGUGUUAUUAGCUAAUGACAGCAGGACGGUGGACAUGGAAGUUGUCAUCCGCUAAGGAGUGUGUAACAACUCACCUGCCAAAGCUAGUGGCCCUUAAAAUGGAUGGCGCUCCAGUCGUUUGCCUAUACAUUACCGCUGACGUACAAGUGGUGCGGUUCGCGCAGGGUGCCGCACUUUGAGACGUCAGUGAGUAGGAGGGUCUGGUGGUGUGCGUUGAAGUGCCUGGCGUAAGCCGACAUGGAGCCGCCACUAGCACAGAUCUUGGUGGUAGUAGCAAAUAUUCGAAUGAGAUCUUGGAUGACUGAAGUGGAGGAGGGUUUCGUGUCAACAGUAGUUGAACACGAGUUAGCCAAUCCUAAGCUCUAUGGGAAACCUGAUAUAUAUUUAGCAUUUAACCAAAUACACCACCGCCGUGCCGUGUGUUGAUGCAACAUCCACUAGUAUAUAUUAAACGAGCGAAAGGGAAUCCGGUUACUAUUCCGGAGCCUGUUGAGUAUACGUUUGCAUUGGUACGCUUACUGGAAACGGUAGUGCCUUUGUAAUCAUGGUAACAUGAAUCUUUUCUUCGAGACACUAACGGGAGGUAUCGGAAGAGUUAUCUUUUCUGUUUAACAGUCACACUGGUCCAUGAAAAUCGAAGAUUGGGACACGCAAACUCUCAACAUCUUGUACCGAAUCCGCAGCAGGUCUCCAAGAUGUAGAGUCUCUAGUCGAUAGAAUAAUGUAGGUAAGGGAAGUCGGCAAAUUGAAUCCGUAACUUCGGGAUAAGGAUUGGCUCUGAAGACUGGGAUGACUCGGGCUCUUAUCCUACCAUCGGUCGCUCGAGUAAGCACUUUGCUCGACUGCGUUUCGUUGUAGGGUUUUACCUUAAUGUGCUUGGUGCGAUCGAUUUAGUUCGUACGUACUGUGCACUGUAGUCAUCAAUAAACAGUCAAUUCGGAACUGGCACGGCUGAGGGAAUCCGACUGUCUAAUUAAAACAAAGCAUUGUGAUGGCCUCA